GAUGAACGCUGGCGGCGUGCCUAAUACAUGCAAGUCGAGCGAACAGACGAGGAGCUUGCUCCUCUGACGUUAGCGGCGGACGGGUGAGUAACACGUGGAUAACCUACCUAUAAGACUGGGAUAACUUCGGGAAACCGGAGCUAAUACCGGAUAAUAUAUUGAACCGCAUGGUUCAAUAGUGAAAGACGGUUUUGCUGUCACUUAUAGAUGGAUCCGCGCCGCAUUAGCUAGUUGGUAAGGUAACGGCUUACCAAGGCAACGAUGCGUAGCCGACCUGAGAGGGUGAUAGGCCACACUGGAACUGAGACACGGUCCAGACGCCUAAGGGAGGCAGCAGUAGGGAAUCUUCCGCAAUGGGCGAAAGCUUGACGGAGCAACGCCGCGUGAGUGAUGAAGGUCUUCGGAUCGUAAAACUCUGUUAUUAGGGAAGAACAAAUGUGUAAGUAACUAUGCACGUCUUGACGGUACCUAAUCAGAAAGCCACGGCUAACUACGUG
rnacentral:rRNA from 1 species